rnacentral:rRNA from 1 species
GUCUCAAAGAUUAAGCCAUGCAUGUCUAAGUAUAAGCAAUAUAUACGGUGAAACUGCGAAUGGCUCAUUAAAUCAGUUAUCGUUUAUUUGAUAGUACCUUACUACAUGGAUAACCGUGGUAAUUCUAGGGCUAAUACAUGCUAAAAACCCCGACUUCGGGAGGGGUGUAUUUAUUAGAUAAAAAACCAAUGCCCUUCGGGGCUCCUUGGUGAUUCAUAAUAACUUAACGAAUCGCAUGGCCUUGCGCCGGCGAUGGUUCAUUCAAAUUUCUGCCCUAUCAACUUUCGAUGGUAAGGUAUUGGCUUACCAUGGUAUCAACGGGUAACGGGGAAUUAGGGUUCGAUUCCGGAGAGGGAGCCUGAGAAACGGCUACCACAUCCAAGGAAGGCAGCAGGCGCGCAAAUUACCCAAUCCCGACACGGGGAGGUAGUGACAAUAAAUACUGAUACAGGGCUCUUUUGGGUCUUGUAAUUGGAAUGAGUACAAUUUAAAUCCCUUAACGAGGAACAAUUGGAGGGCAAGUCUGGUGCCAGCAGCCGCGGUAAUUCCAGCUCCAAUAGCGUAUAUUAAAGUUGUUGCAGUUAAAAAGCUCGUAGUUGAACCUUGGGCCUGGCUGGCCGGUCCGCCUCACCGCGUGUACUGGUCCGGCCGGGCCUUUCCUUCUGGGGAUCCGCAUGCCCUUCGCUGGGUGUGCCGGGGAACCAGGACUUUUACUUUGAAAAAAUUA